rnacentral:rRNA from 1 species
UACGUAGGGUGCAAGCGUUAAUCGGAAUUACUGGGUGUAAAGCGUGCGCAGGCGGUUAUGUAAGACAGAUGUGAAAUCCCCGGGCUCAACCUGGGAACUGCAUUUGUGACUGCAUAGCUAGAGUACGGUAGAGGGGGAUGGAAUUCCGCGUGUAGCAGUGAAAUGCGUAGAUAUGCGGAGGAACACCGAUGGCGAAGGCAAUCCCCUGGACCUGUACUGACGCUCAUGCACGAAAGCGUGGGGAGCAAACAGG